UACGUAGGGUGCAAGCGUUGUCCGGAAUUAUUGGGCGUAAAGAGCUCGUAGGCGGUCUGUUGCGUCUGCUGUGAAAACCCGGGGCUUAACCCCUGGCUUGCAGUGGAUACGGACAGACUAGAGGUAGGUAGGGGAGAAUGGAAUUCCCGGUGUAGCGGUGAAAUGCGCAGAUAUCGGGAGGAACACCGGUGGCGAAGGCGGUUCUCUGGGCCUGUACUGACGCUGAGGAGCGAAAGCGUGGGGAGCGAACAGG
rnacentral:rRNA from 1 species